AAAGAAAUGUGUUGCUAGCAUAAUGAACUCUCCCCAAAAACUAUCAAUCAAGAUCUUUUAAUUCUUCUGAGGGUAAAUAUUAAGUAAUGAGAACCCGUAACAAAAUCCCCAAAAGACAGUGGUGUAUAAAUGAAUAAGUACUGCAGAAGAAGAACACUAGAUCCACUGAAAACAAGGUAAUUACAGUCCCUGGAAAGGAUUGAGCAAGUAUUGUUUUGCAGGUAGAAACUCAUCUCUGGGCAGCAUGUUACUGUUUCACAAGUUCAGAAACCUUCAACAACAUACCAGUCUUUGACUUUGACAGCUCGUAUUUAAAAUUCCUACGCAAGCAUAAAGUCAUAAACAAUAACUAUUACAGAUGAUUUUCAGAAUUUUUUGGCAACAAGAUCAAAAAUCUGGAUUUUGAGGACAUUUUCUUAAAUUAUUAGGAUUAAUAAGUGGAUGUGGACACUUACGGUGAAAACAUCCUGAUCUAUUACGGUUCACACCUUUGUUGGUUUUGGCUAAAGCCUGCCACAUCAUAUCUGAGAUGUAGUAACACCUGUGAUGUGGGAGAGCAGUAACAACACACAGGAGCUGUUUAAAAGCUAAUUGUGCUUCCUGGGGGAAACAUCUAAAGAGAGAGGAGCUUGAUAUUUUAUUCAUUAAGCUUCUUAUUCUUGCGUCCCGCUGUGACACGAAGCCUCUUCCAACUACAAGGAGAUUUGAGUAUCAAGAUGAAGUCCAAGCUGGUGGUUUUUCUUUUUCUGACUUUUGCUUUUAUCAGUUGCCUUUCAGCUGUAAGUACACGAAUAAACAUUACUGACUGAUACGUUUUAAAACCAGGACUUUAAGUAUUAUGUUUUUGCAGCACCGCCAUCGCCGGGGCAGUCACAGCAGUGAAUCUUUCAGCUUUGAGAGAAGGAAACCAUUCUACGGGUUUCCUUCAGUUUGUUUGCUGUUACCUCGUCUCUGCAUGCCAUCUCUUCCUGUAGCACCAACAAAACCGACAACUACCACAACAACAACACCCAAAACAACAACAACAAUGACAACCCCAACAACAACUACUACCACAACAACAAAACUAACUACAACAACAAAACCAACUACAACAACAGCUCCAACUACAACAACAGCUCCAACUACAACCACAAGCACUCAGACCACUGACAAUCGAGGAGACAACAGGCUAAUUGGAUUGCCCUGACUGUCCAACAACAAGAGAACUGUUCAGAGCAAAAGGAAAUGCUGCCUAUUUGCUGUUUUCUGCACUAAUGAAGCCACAGCUAAAAGCAAAUCUGCACAGCUUUAGAAAUUGAUUGUUGAAUAAAUUGUAGAAACGGUUUAAUCGGCUUUCUGUUUUCAUUUUUUGUGUUUCGCUCAACUUUGUGAAAAAUGAAUUUUUGUCUAAAAUAAACAAGGAAAAUGCUCUUGUAUGCAUGUUUAGAGAAAAGUAACAUUGAGACAAGCACUUAGGGUGUAAUGAGAAGUUGUGUGUGAGAGAGUGCUGACACACUCCAGGGAUGAGUGUAAUCUGGUAAUCCGACCUUGGUGCUUCAUCAGGGAAGUCUGUCAUACCAUCCACCCUCUUACUGAUGUGUUCAUUCACCUCUCUGCACUGUUAGCUUUUCACACGAUGUGGAAAAGAAGAUUUAUCUACAAAGAAUCAAUUUAUGUUUUUGAUUUUAAAUGUUUGUGUCAAAAUAAUAGAAGCAAUUUUCACAUAUCUUUUAUAAUGAAUGCCACCUUUUUUUCUAAGUGUGCUCUUUGGGGCUAACUCUACUAGAAAACUUAUUUUCCUUAAAAUGUGCACUGAAAUAACUUUUAUUUGUGUUAAUUAAAUACAAAAAAAGUAAACUACAAUUGAUUUAAAAACAUUAAUUGUGUUUUUAUCUCCUUGGUAAAAUGGAAAAAAUAAAAUUAAACAAUAAUUAUAAUUAUGAUGAUGAUGACAAAGGUAAUAUUUUUCUUAUUUUUUAUUAUUAUAGAUCCCAGUCAUUUGUUGUUGGAUUUGUUUAAUUUUAUGAUCAUCAGGAUAAUAAUUGGGAAUGGGAAAUUGUCUUUGGUCUUUACAUUUGUCUACUCUUUACGUAGAAAACCAGAUACAGUAGCUGCACUUGUUUGUCAUUGGUUGCAGUCAGUUUAAGGUUUUAGUGACUAUU
ensembl:lncRNA